GAGAGUAGACGUAGGUGGUUGCAGAUUGGUGAUUAACACUGGUUUGAGGAAAGUCCGGGCUCCCGAAAGACCAAACUUGCUGGAUAACAUCCAGUACGAGCGAUCGUGAGGAAAGUGCCACAGAAAAAUACCGCCAGCUUUUCAGAAUGCUAAUUCUAGGGUUGGUAAGGGUGCAAAGGUGCGGGUAAGAGCCCACCAGCAGUAUCGAGAGGUACUGGCUCGGUAAACCCCGGUUGGGAGCAAGGCCAGAGAAACUAUGGUUGGUCUUUUACCAGUUUCGGCAAAUUAGAGCCGCUUGAGGUAGUUGGUAACAACUAUCCCAGAUAGAUAACCACCCUCGCAAGAGAACAGAACCCGGCUUAUGUGCUGCUCUCUCUU
rnacentral:RNase_P_RNA from 1 species